rnacentral:rRNA from 1 species
UACGGGGGGGGCAAGCGUUGUUCGGAAUUACUGGGCGUAAAGGGUCUGUAGGUGGCUUGCUAAGUCAGACGUGAAAUCCCUCAGCUUAACUGGGGAACUGCGUCUGAGACUGGCGAGCUUGAGGGCAGGAGAGGAACGCGGAAUUCCAGGUGUAGCGGUGAAAUGCGCAGAUAUCAGGAGGAACACCGGUGGCGAAGGCGGCUUGCUGGGCCAGUUCUGACGCUGAGGAGCGAAAGCGUGGGGAGCGAACAGG